UACGAGUGCCCCGAGCGUUAUCCGGAAUCAUUGGGCGUAAAGGGUGUGUAGGUGGUCGUGUUAGUCAAUUGUUAAAACCCGGAGCUUAACUCCGGAAGUGCGAUUGAAACGGCACAACUAGAGGAUGGCAGGGAUGUAUGGAACUCAUGGAGUAGGGGUGAAAUCCGUUGAUAUCAUGGGGAACACCAAAAGCGAAGGCAGUACGAUUGGGCCACUCCUGACACUGAAACACGAAAGCGUGGGUAGCGAAUGGG
rnacentral:rRNA from 1 species